GAUGAACGCUGGCGGCGUGCCUAAUACAUGCAAGUCGAGCGAACGGACGAGAAGCUUGCUUCUCUGAUGUUAGCGGCGGACGGGUGAGUAACACGUGGAUAACCUACCUAUAAGACUGGGAUAACUUCGGGAAACCGGAGCUAAUACCGGAUAAUAUUUUGAACCGCAUGGUUCAAAAGUGAAAGACGGUCUUGCUGUCACUUAUAGAUGGAUCCGCGCUGCAUUAGCUAGUUGGUAAGGUAACGGCUUACCAAGGCAACGAUGCAUAGCCGACCUGAGAGGGGGAACUGGCCCCAGGAGAACAGAAAUCGGCUCCGACCCCAGCGGGGGGGCAGGAGGAGGAAUUGUGCCUAAAGGGGGGAAACCAUGACGUAGCAACGCCGCGGGAGUGAUAAAGGGCUUCGGUGCGAAAAACCUUUUAUUUAGGGAAAAAAAGAUUUGAAAGGAAUUUUGCAAUUCUGGACGGAACCGAACAAAAAACCCGCGGUAAACUGCGU
rnacentral:rRNA from 1 species